rnacentral:rRNA from 1 species
CCUACGGGAGGCUGCAGUGGGGAAUAUUGGUCAAUGGGGGAAACCCUGAUCCAGCGACGCCGCGUGAGUGAAGAAGUAUUUCGGUACGUAAAGCUCUAUCAGCAGGAAAGAAAAUGACGGUACCUGACUAAGAAGCCCCGGCUAACUACGUGCCAGCAGCCGGGGUAAUACGUAGGGGGCAAGCGUUAUCCGGGUUUACUGGGUGUAAAGGGAGCGUAGGCGGCUGCGCAAGUCUGGAGUGAAAUGCCGGGGCCCAACCCCGGAACUGCUCUGGAAACUGGGAGGCUGGAGUGCAGGAGAGGUAAGCGGAAUUCGUGGUGUAGCGGUGAAAUGCGUAGAUAUCGGGAGGAACGCCGACGGCGAAGGCGGCUUACUGGACUGUAACUGACGUUGAGGCUCGAAGGCGUGGGGAGCAAACAGGAUUAGAUACCCUUGUAGUC